rnacentral:misc_RNA from 1 species
AACGCACCUUGCGCUCCUCAAAAACCGAGGAGCAUGCCUGUUUGAGUGUCAUUAAUAUAUCAACCUCCUCAGGUUUUUUGCCUGUUGAGUGUUUGGAUGUGGGGGUGUUUUUUGCUGGUCUCUUUCUGAGGUCGGCUCCCCUGAAAUGUAUUAGCGGAACAAUUUUGUUGACCGUUCAUUGGUGUGAUAAUUAUCUACGCUAUUGACGUGAAGCAAGGUUCAGCUUCUAACAGUCCAUUGACCUGGACAAUUUUUCAUUAACGUGACCUCAAAUCAGGUAGGACUACCCGCUGAACUUAA